rnacentral:misc_RNA from 1 species
UGGUAGGAAUAGGCUCGCCGGCUGGGGGGUAAGCAUCGCACAUCACCAGGAUAUUGUUUCCUCUUCUGAAGGGAUCCUUAAAGAUUGCUUGAGGGUAUAGAAUGACUUCACUGUCAUCUCCAGGGGCUUGGUCUGUGCUUGAGCCAUCGUAGUUCCAUUUGGGAAGUUUGGAAGGAUCAGUCGCUGGUCCUGGCAGAGUCCUUGCUUUGCUUCUCAAGUCCAAACCAGAACCCCCGAUCCAGAUGUAUUCAGCUAUGAUCUUCUCGGUGGUCUCAGAAAGAUUGAGGUUGAUUAGAUCGCUAAGUAGAGACAUGGCUACGCACUCAGAGGGACAGUGAUGAGCACAGAGAGAGAGAGAGAGAGAGAG